rnacentral:lncRNA from 1 species
GAUAUUUGGAUUACUAGUAACCCACUAAGCAAAUAAGCAAUGUUUCCAAUGGUUCCACAUAUCCUACAUUCACAUCCUGUUUCAAUCCCAACCACACCUUAGGCAUCAUGAGUUUACCUCUCGCUGCAAUUUCUCAUGGGCUCUUUGAGAUAUACAGUAUUGUCAUCAAAAUCUGUCUGAUAAAGCAAAGCUUGUCAUGUUCUUAUUUGAACUUUUUCAGAGAGAAUUCAAGAGAUUAGCAUGAGUACAUCAGAGAUGCCCUGACAGUUGACAGAGUGUUUUUGCUGUGGUUGUGUGUUUGGUAUUCAAAUAGAUCCCUUUUUGAUGAGUAAGAGAGAGCCCCACCCCUUUAAGAACAGGGCUAAACUCCUAUGUGCAUAUACUUAGUUGAGCAGGUUGCAAAGCAGCAAGUCGAUCUCCAACUUGCUCCCACUAAUAGCUGGAAUACUACAGACAAAUUGUAAACACACUACUUUCACAGCAGGGGUGUGCUAUUGCUGCUUUUACUUGCCAUAGGAGUUGGCACAAGUCACACACACACACACAGACACACACACACACAUAUACACCCACGCACGCACGCACACCCACGCACGCACACACACAGACAAACAGUUUCUUCUGCAGGUUUGAACUGCGAUCAAGAUGGGCAAUGAGCAUUCCAAAAACAAGGCUGAGCAGGCUCCAGAAAAGCCCCUGCAUGGAGGUUUGAAUGGCCAUGCUGUAAGCAUCUCAUCCAAUGGCCUGGAGAAUGUUACCAGUGAAGCAGCUGUGGAGCAGAACAGUAUGCCUACCUCACUGCCUCCCUCUGAAGAGUCAGGUAUAGUGGAGGCAGAUGGCAGUGGUCUUGGGCCUGUGGUGGUGGAACAGAAGUCUGCCGUCAAGAAGGUUCCAGAAGUGGAACCAGAGACACAGAAUGCUAAGACUCAAAACACAGCGGAACCGGAACUGGAACCAGCCACCCAAGAGAAGGAGGAGCCCAAGAACAGUACACAAGAAAAAGUGAACAUCUUUGAAAAUCUGUUCAAGAAGAAAGCUAAGCCUCAACCCACCCCCAACCCGGAUCCAGCCCUGGAAAAGGAGGAGCCCAUAAGGGAGAAGAUUGUGGAGGAGAUUGAAAGUUCUGCGGAAGAUCAGAAAGUCCCUGUGGCUGUGACCGAUGGGAUCCAAGCUGAGCCACUUGCUGAGGUAAAGGAGGAUACAGAGACUUCAAAGGAGCGUCCCAACCCUAGUCCAGAGGCAGAGGAGGUCAAAAGCCCCAAAAUUGCAGAGGAAAGCAGUCACAUUCAGGAAAACCAAGAGGGAGAGAGUCAAACAGAAGAUAAUCCAGUUAUGAACUUCUUCAAAACACUAGUGACUCCCAUAAAAAAAAACAAGCAAGAAACAGCCACCCCUGAUGUUGCAAAAGACCAGAAAGAGGCCCAACCAACAACAACUACUGCUGCACAACUAGUGGAUGCAACAGCCAAAGGAGGAAUGUUAAUCCCACCAGCUGCAGCCCCAGCCCCAGCCCCGGCCCCAGCCCCGGCCGCAGCCCCGGCCGCAGCCCCUGCCCCACCCGCAGCCGCAGCCCCAGCCCCAGCCCCACCUAAGAUGGAGGUUAAAGCAGAACUAGCUGCCCAACCUGUGACCAACGCACCAAAAGAAGAACCAAAGGGUGCUGCCAAAGAAGCAGAGGCCGCCAAGCCGAAAUCUGACCGCCCGUUCAGCAGACUUUUCAGCAGAAAGACUGUGGAACCAGUGGAGCCACAGCCGGUUGUGGAAGUACAGACAGUGGAACCAGUGGAGCCACAGCCGGUUGUGGAAGUACAGAAUGUAGACUUCUCAAAGACGGCCACUCUGGAGGCCUCUGCCACUCUAGAACCACCACCACCUGCACCAGAGGACGAGAAGACACCUGCUGCCUCCAAAGCCUCUCCUUUCACUUCCUUUUCUCUUUUCAAGACCAUGGCAGCUGUGCCGAAAAAGGAAGUCCCUGCCCCAGCUGCAGAAGCGGUAGCUGGCCCAAGUGUAGCCAAGGAUGAACCAAAGGCCCCAGAGGACCCUGCUGUGGACAGCAAGCCCGUGUCAGGGCCCUCCGAGGUUAUGGAGAAUUCCCCCGUCCUCCCUAAGAGACUGGAGAAGAGGAACUCCAUCCACUUGUUCUUCAAAAACCUGGGCAAACGCCAGUCAGAUGCAGGAGUACAAACAGAACCAGAGAAGACCAAAUAAAACGGAAACACCCUUUCAAACUUCACAUGCCAUAUCUGGAAAUGAACUUUUCAUUUGUUAGAUACAUUAUGUUUCUGAUCACACUAUUGAAGGGAUGAUGGUAAGAGCAAGUGGUUUGAGGGAGAGGGGUGGACUGUGGACUGGUCUGUUCUAGUCUAAUCUAAUCUGUGUGGAUGAUUUCAGAGAAUUGUUCUUUGUGGAGGAGGUAAAAUAUAUUUUCUGGUUUAAAGGCUUGAUAGGUAGAGAAAAGUGGUUUUGUUACAUGUACUGAGAGCAAAAUCCAUUUCUAUACAGUAUUUACCCUUCUUUUAACAUGUCACUUAUUCCACGGAGGGCUGAGUGUCUGCGGGUUUUUGCUCCUCCCUUGAUUGAUUAAUUAAGGUCACUAAUUAGUAAAGAACUCCCCUCACCUGGUUGUCUAAGUCUAAAAACAAAACACCCACAGACACUAAGCCCUUCAUGGAAUGUGUUUGACACCACUGCUUUAACAUAUUAAUAUGUGUAAGGAUCUAAUGCAAAUAUUACGUUUAGCAUAUUUUUUUCCCCUCUUCAUAUACACAUUUUACUAGUCUGAAAAGAACUUGUGGAGUGCAUACAAUGGUUUCAGAUACGUUCAUAGGACGUCUUGGAGAAGAGAUGCAUAAAGCUUAGCUUGAGAUAGAAAUUGAAUAUACUCAAAAUUUAAUGGAGGAGUUGGCGAAAUGGUUGAUAUUCCUGCCAAGAUGUUUUUAUUUAGGCUAGACACAUGCAAUUUACAAUGUAAGCUUUAAACUUUGCAGGAACUGUACACGGAUGCAAAUAUAUGCCAAACACUAAAUUACAAUUUAUGAUUAUAAUCAUACACAGGGGGCGCUCCCAAUCAUUACUUUUUUGGGGAACUACACAGAUCUGGUUGUCUAUAUAGCUAACUGCACAGUCAUGCAUCAUAUUUGAUUAAUGUUUCACUGAAGUAUAAAGGUUUGUUCUAAUUUGGGUGCACUGCUUUACGUGUGUGCCUGUUUGAAUGCAGAUGUUAUAAUCUUGGGGAUCUUGUCUGUUAAUUUCUGCAUCUAUAAUUUGAUAAACUGCAUCUGGAAGUAGAAUGUUUAUUGUGACAGCAAAUUCCAAAUCAUGAAAACCUGCAAUGGGGUAUUGGGGGGGGGGGGGAGUUCUACUGAGCUAACAUAUGGAAUUUUUUUAAGAUCAUACCAUGGAUCCUUUAGCUAUUUAAUUUUUCAUUUAGGUAAAAUAUUGAAUUUGGCUUUUAAUGCUAUAGCCUAUAGAAAUGCAAUGAAUAACACAUUCAUAAAUGGCAAAACGGAGAGUACAAAAAGAAAUAAUAUAUAACGUUUUUGAAGUGUCUGUCCUACAUCUAGGAGAUGUAAUAAUGUUCAGGAUUUACACAUAUUUAACCCAUUUUUUGGGGGUGUCACAAAACUACUUCUAUAUAUUUUUUAUUAUGUUAAUUAAAUUGACGCACGGGUGCGUUGAUGGACUUUAGGGGGUAUUUAAAGCUAUUUUCCUGUAACUGUUUAAAGAGAAUAAAUGUGUACAAUUAUUUGUUUUCUUGUUUUCUAUCUCACAAUUUAGGCCAAAAGUUAUCAGUAUAGGGAAAUAUGAAAACAUAUUUAGAGUGAAAUUAAAUGUCCCUGUAAUAUAGUGAUUUAAUGUUAUCAAACAGUACUAUCAAGUGCUGCAAUAACUGAAAAAGACAUGACCCAACAAGUUUAUCAACACAUCUUGUAUUCCCAAAGUAGGGAGCCAAGCUGUUUUCAGCUAUGUUAGAAGUAUGGAG